CCUACGGGAUGCAGCAGUGGGGAAUAUUGGACAAUGGGCGAAAGCCUGAUCCAGCCAUGCCGCGUGUGUGAAGAAGGCCUUCGGGUUGUAAAGCACUUUCAGUGGGGAAGAAAGCCUUGGGGCUAAUACCCCCGAGGAAGGACAUCACCCACAGAAGAAGCACCGGCUAACUCCGUGCCAGCAGCCGCGGUAAUACGGAGGGUGCGAGCGUUAAUCGGAAUUACUGGGCGUAAAGCGCGCGUAGGCGGUCUGAUAAGCCGGUUGUGAAAGCCCCGGGCUCAACCUGGGAACGGCAUCCGGAACUGUCAGGCUAGAGUGCAGGAGAGGAAGGGAGAAGUCCCGGUGUAGCGGUGAAAUGCGUAGAGAUCGGGAGGAAUACCAGUGGCGAAGGCGGCCUUCUGGACUGACACUGACGCUGAGGUGCGAAAGCGUGGGUAGCAAACAGGAUUAGAUACCCGUGUAGUC
rnacentral:rRNA from 1 species